rnacentral:rRNA from 1 species
AUUGAACGCUGGCGGCAGGCCUAACACAUGCAAGUCGAACGAGUGGCGGACGGGUGAGUUAUGUCGGGGAAACUGCCUGGUGGAGGGGGAUAACUUCUGGAAACGAUAGCUAAUACCGCAAACCAGCAGAAGUCCCCAGAUGGGAUUAGCUUGUGGGUGGGGUAACGGCUCACCAAGGCGACGAUCCCUAGCUGGUCUGAGAGGAUGACCAGCCACACUGGUACUGAGACACGGUCCAGACUCCUACGGGAGGCAGCAGUGGGGAAUAUUGCACAAUGGGCGCAAGCCUGAUGCAGCCAUGCCGCGUGUAUGAAGAAGGCCUUCGGGUUGUAAAGUACUUUCAGUGGGGAGGCGUUACCCACAGAAGAAGCACCGGCUAACUCCGUGCCAGCAGCCGCGGUAAUUC